CUGCAAGUCGAACGCGAAAGCGGGGCAACCCGCAUGUAGAGUGGCGAACGGGUGAGUAAUACAUCGGAACAUAUCCAGUAGCGGGGGAUAACCUGUCGAAAGAUAGGCUAAUACCGCAUACGAUCUACGGAUGAAAGCAGGGGACCGCAAGGCCUUGCACUAUUGGAGUGGCCGAUGUCGGAUUAGCUAGUUGGUGAGGUAAAGGCUUACCAAGGCGACGAUCCGUAGCUGGUCUGAGAGGACGAUCAGCCACACUGGAACUGAGACACGGUCCAGACUCCUACGGGAGGCAGCAGUGGGGAAUUUUGGACAAUGGGCGCAAGCCUGAUCCAGCCAUGCCGCGUGAGUGAAGAAGGCCUUCGGGUUGUAAAGCUCUUUCGGUGAAGACGAAACGGUUAGCGCUAAUAACGCUGACUAAUGACGGUACUCACAGAAGAAGCACCGGCUAACUACGUGCCAGCAGCCGCGGUAAUACGUAGGGUGCAGGCGUUAAUCGGAAUUACUGGGCGUAAAGCGUGCGCAGGCGGUUUGCUAAGACAGGUGUGAAAUCCCCGAGCUUAACUUGGGAAUUGCGCUUGUAACUGGCAAGCUAGAGUGUGGCAGAGGGGGGUGGAAUUCCACGUGUAGCAGUGAAAUGCGUAGAUAUGUGGAGGAACACCGAUGGCGAAGGCAGCCCCCUGGGUUAACACUGACGCUCAUGCACGAAAGCGUGGGGAGCAAACAGGAUUAGAUACCCUGGUAGUCCACGCCCUAAACUAUGUCAACUAGUUGUCGGGGAAGAAAUUCCUUGGUAACGAAGCUAACGCGUGAAGUUGACCGCCUGGGGAGUACGGCCGC
rnacentral:rRNA from 1 species